ACCCGCUGAAUUUAAGCAUAUCAAUAAGCGGAGGAAAAGAAACCAACAGGGAUUGCCCUAGUAACGGCGAGUGAAGCGGCAACAGCUCAAAUUUGAAAUCUGGCUCUUUCAGAGUCCGAGUUGUAAUUUGCAGAGGGCGCUUUGGCUUUGGCAGCGGUCCAAGUUCCUUGGAACAGGACGUCACAGAGGGUGAGAAUCCCGUACGUGGUCGCUAGCUAUUGCCGUGUAAAGCCCCUUCGACGAGUCGAGUUGUUUGGGAAUGCAGCUCUAAAUGGGAGGUAAAUUUCUUCUAAAGCUAAAUAUUGGCCAGAGACCGAUAGCGCACAAGUAGAGUGAUCGAAAGAUGAAAAGCACUUUGGAAAGAGAGUCAAACAGCACGUGAAAUUGUUGAAAGGGAAGCGCUUGCAGCCAGACUUGCUUGCAGUUGCUCAUCCGGGCUUUUGCCCGGUGCACUCUUCUGUAGGCAGGCCAGCAUCAGUUUGGGCGGUGGGAUAAAGGUCUCUGUCACGUACCUCUCUUCGGGGAGGCCUUAUAGGGGAGACGACAUACCACCAGCCUAGACAGAGGUCCGCGCAUCUGCUAGGAUGCUGGCGUAAUGGCUGUAAGCGGCCCGUCUUGAAACACGGACCAAGGAG
rnacentral:rRNA from 1 species